CGGCAGGCCUAAUACAUGCAAGUCGAACGAGAUUAAGGGGCUUGCUCCUUAUGAAAGUGGCGCACGGGUGCGUAACGCGUAUGCAACCUACCUCAAUCAGGGGGAUAGCCCGAAGAAAUUCGGAUUAACACCGCAUAAAAACACAGGAUAGCAUUAUCUAAUGUUCAAAUAUUUAUAGGAUUGAGAUGGGCAUGCGUGUCAUUAGCUAGUUGGCGGGGUAACGGCCCACCAAGGCGACGAUGACUAGGGGAUCUGAGAGGAUGACCCCCCACACUGGUACUGAGACACGGACCAGACUCCUACGGGAGGCAGCAGUAAGGAAUAUUGGUCAAUGGAGGCAACUCUGAACCAGCCAUGCCGCGUGCAGGAAGACAGCCCUCUGGGUCGUAAACUGCUUUUAUUCGGGAAUAAACCUAUUUACGUGUAGAUAGCUGAAUGUACCGAAGGAAUAAGGAUCGGCU
rnacentral:rRNA from 1 species